UGGGGAAUCUUGCGCAAUGGGGGCAACCCUGACGCAGCGACGCCGCGUGCGGGACGAAGGCCUUCGGGUCGUAAACCGCUUUCAGCAGGGACGAGUCAAGACGGUACCUGCAGAAGAAGCCCCGGCUAACUACGUGCCAGCAGCCGCGGUAAUACGUAGGGGGCGAGCGUUAUCCGGAUUCAUUGGGCGUAAAGCGCGCGUAGGCGGCCGCGUAGGCGGGGGGUCAAAUCCCGGGGCUCAACCCCGGUCCGCCCCCCGAACCCCGCGGCUCGGGUCCGGUAGGGGAGGGUGGAAUUCCCGGUGUAGCGGUGGAAUGCGCAGAUAUCGGGAGGAACACCGGUGGCGAAGGCGGCCCUCUGGGCCGAGACCGACGCUGAGGCGCGAAAGCUGGGGGAGCGAACAG
rnacentral:rRNA from 1 species